rnacentral:rRNA from 1 species
GACGUAGGGGGCCAGCGUUGUUCGGAAUUACUGGGUGUAAAGGGUUCGUAGGCGGUGUGGCAAGUCGGGAGUGAAAUCUCUGGGCUCAACCCAGAGUCUGCUUCCGAAACUGCUGUGCUUGAGUGUGGGAGAGGCGCGUGGAAUUGCAGGUGUAGCGGUGAAAUGCGUAGAUAUCGAUCGGAACACCUAUGGCGAAGGCAGCUCGCUGGGACGUUACUGACGCUGAGACGCGAAAGCGUGGGGAGCAAACGGG